rnacentral:lncRNA from 1 species
CACAACUACUGGACCCACCACUACCACUGGAGCCGCCGCCGCCGACCAACACCAUGAGAAGAAGGGCAUUCUCGAGAAGAUCAAGGAGAAACUCCCCGGCCACCACAACCACCACCCGUGAAGACUGAAGUUGUUUUUCGAUUUCAUGAAUAAAUCGCUUGCUACCAAUGUAGAUAGUUUUUUUAAAUCAAUUAUGAAUGUCGUCUAGUAAAAGUCUGCUUGAUUUCUGGUUCAUUAGUGGUUUCCAGUUUGUGAACUUGUAUCAUGUUGCUGCUUUCAUUUAUAAGAAAAAGAUUGUAUGUUUUGUUAGCAUUUUUGUCCAGCGACCAGAAAUAAUAUUCAACAACUUGGUUAAGCAAAAAACGUUAAUCAUGCCGUUAUGCACCUACUUUUCUCGACUUGGUUCGUGCUCUUAGAGAUAUUAAGCUAGUUAAUGGGAUCUCGUUAGAUUUCUAGUCCUGCUUCUUCCCCUCCUUGUCUUGACAUAGGGGAAACAUAGUACUUUGGUCUCAAUUUUUUUUUUAAUAAAGUUAAUUUGACAAUUUACGCAAAAAUGAAACAUUCGCUCAUUAUGAUAAAUAUACUAAUAAUUAUACUUCUAUCUCUAUUCUCUACUAUUAGAUUCUUUUUCAAAACCUUUCAUGGUUCUUCACUUCUUCUCUUGGCCCGCCCCUCUCCUUUGUUUCAGAGGUUUGCCAUUGGUGGUGUUCCAAGUACCAACCGCUGAAUGCAAAUGAGCCGAUGACAUUCCCAUUGAUUGUGGGGCCAAGUCGUCAGCCAAAGAGACCUUGAAGAGUCUUUAAAAGUAACUGGUUGUGGAUAAACAAAUGCAUGUGUAACUAAAUACUUCGCUAUGCAUUUACUACUCACCUUCCCAUGUUGUAGGUUGUUGAUAGGUUACACAUUUCCAAGUUUUUGUCAAAGCGUAAGUGAAGCAAUCCCUCCUCUAAUGCCUUGUAUUAGAGGAGAUGUAUGAUGACCACAUAUAAGAGAUGAAUUGAAAAAGUAGUUGAGAAUUAAAAUACAAGGGCGCUCUUACAGUUAGUGAAAACUGAAAAUAUUACAGAAACUAUGAAAGCAAAGUUGCUUUCGCUUGAGUUUGCUGAGCUCCCUCCUUCAAAGGAUCCUAAAUAAAUACUUUUAACCAUCUGAGUAAUUCUUUCCCCCCAUCAAAGAAUCCCCUAAUCCGUACAUGUAAUUCUCGUGACACAAGAAGCUCAGAAAGUACAAAGUUAGAAAGAACAAAGAGUAAUGAUUCAGACAUCAGAGCUUUUAGGAAAAGCCUAUUCAACUCUUUUCUUCUUCUUGCUGACCAUCACGGGAUUUUCAAUCUCCAUGAUCUCAUCAUCAUCACUCUCGACGUUCUCUGUUUCUUUCUUAUCAUUCUCGGGCUGAGUCUCAGAGAGUCUUCUCUUCUUAGAAGCCAUCUCCGGUCCUGAGGAACUCUCUGUGACAUCAACAGCCUUCUCAUUCUCAUUGUUUGAUGUUGAUGCGCUCUCGCCGUUGGUAGCUGGAGAUUGUGUCCAUCCAGAGAGAACCAUUCCUUCAGGUUCUUUUUCCUCGUCAAAUUCUUCCCUGUGACAGUACAGAAUAAGCAGCAGAUGAUGCAUCAAUCGACUGACAUGGAACGAUGGAAAGACUACUACAAAGCUUUCAGUACUACAUUUUUGAGAAUAAUAGGAUGAUGUCUGAUUAAAACCCAUCUCAGAUAACUAAAGCAGUAUUCAAAAGGUAUAAGAAAGAACCUGUGCUUGACAUUAAUCUUGCAAGAUAGCUCUUGCUGAAGAUCUUCCACAGUGAGAAUGCUUCCAUUGAUAACAGGAGAAGGAAGUUCUGACAAAGACUGAAAUAGAAACACAAACAUGUAAGAAAAAAUCCCAUCCCUGUAUUUGAAGAGUAAAUUCUAGAUCCAACCUUUUCAAGGUUAGCAUUGUAGUUUGCAACCAUAAUAUCAUCAAGAUCAUCACCGACUUCGUACAGAAGUGAAGCCCCAUGCAUAAUCAGUGGUAGGUUCAUUCCAAGCUUGGCUGUGACAAUUUUAUCAACCAGAUCCCGUAGUUUCGAUUUCUGAGUAUUGACCUCAAGUACUAAUGGGGUCUGUCAAUAUAAAAGGAGAAAAACCAGAUGAUUGGUUUAUGCAAGAAAACUAUAAGAUAAAAAGAAGUAAUGCUUAUACCUUGGAACAGACAUAGCAAGCAGGAUUAGGUUCAAAUGGCUCCACUGGCAUAAGAAGCAUCUUUCUGCUUGGGUGCUCUAAGCAAUAUGUCAUUCUACAGAGAGACGUCAAACAUAAAAAUGAUAUAUAUUAAGGACUCUGAAGCUUAUGAAAAUUCAAAGUAACAAACCUGUACUUAUCCGCAUCCUUUUUCAGCACUUUGAUUGCUUCGAUAACAAUCAAACCAGCAACAAUGGCGUUAGUUGUAGCAACGGCAUGAACAAUGUUCCCAGCGAUACCUUUGGCUUCAAAAAGACUAUGCAAAGGAAUUCCAAAAGACUCAGCGCGGAUAUUUGCAGCAGCAGUGACAAAUUCUACAGCUAACUGGUCAUCUUUGUCAAAAGUAAGGUGUCCUAUUUCCUGUGGCAGCAUAUAGAAAAAACCAUAAACUAAUCAGCACACUUUAAACUUUUAUAUAUACGGAGAGAGUUCACAGAAACGACUACACAGACCUUCUUUCUCUUGGCGAAGAACAACUUCAAUGCUUCUAUGAACACUAGAGAAUUUUGUGUUAGACCCCACAAUUCCUGUGGAUUCUUCAGGCCAAGCAACGGCAUGGCAGAGACCGUUGAAUCAUCAUCAGUAGCAGAACAAUUCUGAGUGGUCCCAUUUUGUUGAGACAGACUUUCAGGCAAGACUUCCUUACUGUAUAUAGGCCUAGGCCGUGUACGGUUUUUCCAAUAUAUAUAUUUCGAAAUAAAGAAAUUGAUUUUAAGUGUUUCAGUGGAUAUCUUUCUACAGUUUUUAUAUACUUAAAUACAGCAGUAAUAUAGAAUUAUACGGUUGUUGAGUUUAUCUUCUAAUUAUUCAUGUAAGAUAUUUGUGCUACCUAUUGUUGAUAUUUUUUAAAAGAAUUUGUAUUUUGGGGAUUUGUUUUGAAUACUCCUGUGUAAACGUAACAGACUCGUAUACAUAUGGAUCGUUCUUUUAUUGGUUAACGUGUGUUUGAUGUUAAAAUAUAUGUGAAGGAGGACGAUGGACAAGGAGGAAGGAGAAAGAAGGGCAUGAAAGACAAAAUCAAAGAGAAGUUAAGUGGUGGUAAGCACAAGGAUGAACAAACCCCCAGCACUGCCACAACUACUGGACCCACCACUACCACUGGAGCCGCCGCCGCCGACCAACACCAUGAGAAGAAGGGCAUUCUCGAGAAGAUCAAGGAGAAACUCCCCGGCCACCACAACCACCACCCGUGAAGACUGAAGUUGUUUUUCGAUUUCAUGAAUAAAUCGCUUGCUACCAAUGUAGAUAGUUUUUUUAAAUCAAUUAUGAAUGUCGUCUAGUAAAAGUCUGCUUGAUUUCUGGUUCAUUAGUGGUUUCCAGUUUGUGAACUUGUAUCAUGUUGCUGCUU